rnacentral:rRNA from 1 species
AUUGAACGCUGGCGGCAUGCUUUACACAUGCAAGUCGAGCGGCAGCGGGGGCUUCGGCCUGCCGGCGAGCGGCGAACGGGUGAGUAAUGCAUCGGAACGUACCCAGUGGCGGGGGAUAGCUCGGCGAAAGCCGGAUUAAUACCGCAUACGCCCCGGGGGGGAAAGUGGGGGAUCUUCGGACCUCACACCAUUGGAGCGGCCGAUGUCGGAUUAGCUAGUUGGUGAGGUAAAGGCUCACCAAGGCGACGAUCCGUAGCUGGUCUGAGAGGAUGAUCAGCCACACUGGGACUGAGACACGGCCCAGACUCCUACGGGAGGCAGCAGUGGGGAAUUUUGGACAAUGGGCGCAAGCCUGAUCCAGCCAUGCCGCGUGAGUGAAGAAGGCCUUCGGGUUGUAAAGCUCUUUCAGUCGGGAAGAAAAGGCGUUCUCUAACAUAGGGCGUCGAUGACGGUACCGACAGAAGAAGCACCGGCUAACUACGUG